rnacentral:rRNA from 1 species
CUACGGGGGGCUCCAGGCGCGAAAACUUUACAAUGCACGAAAGUGUGAUAAGGGAACCCUAAGUGCUCAACAUUGUUGGGCUUUUGCCAAGAGUAAAUAUCUUGGAGAAUAAGUGGUGGGUAAGACUGGUGCCAGCCGCCGCGGUAACACCAGCGCCACGAGUGGGAAUCGUGUUUAUUGGGCCUAAAGCGUCCGUAGCCGGUUGUGUAAAUCUUUUGUGAAAUCUUCAGGCUUAACCUGUUGGCGCGCAGAAGACACUGCACGACUAGGAACCGGGAGGAGUCAGAGGUAUGGGAUGGGGAGCGGUAAAAUGUGAUAAUCCAUCUUAGACCACCUGUGGCGAAGGCGUCUGACCAGAACGGAUUCGACGGUGAGGGACGAAAGCCAGGGGAGCGAUCCGGAUUAGAUACCCUCGUAGUC